GCUGGAGAUGAGGGCAGGAAGGUGGUUGGGGCCUCACUGACAUCCCUUGCAUCCCCUGCGGGUCUCUAGAGUCUGGAGAUGUGAAGGCCACGGUUGCAGUGCUGAGUUUCAUCCUCUCCAGCGCCGCCAAGCAUAGCGUGGACAGUGAUUCCUUGUCCAGUGAGCUGCAGCAGCUGGGGCUGCCCAAAGAGCAUGCCACCAGCCUGUGCCGCUGUUAUGAAGAGAAGCAGAGCCCCCUACAGGAGCACCUUCGGGCCUGUAGCCUACGUGUGAACAGGCUGGCCAGCGUGGGCUGGCGGGUAGACUACACCCUGAGCUCCAGCCUGCUACAUUCUGUGGAGGAGCCCAUGGUACACCUGCAGCUACAGCUUGUGCCUGCUCCAGGUUCCCUGGCCCAACACGUUUCCAUGUCCCUCUCAGCAGACAAGUUCCAAGUUCUCCUGGCAGAACUGAAGCAAGCCCAGACCCUGAUGACUGCUUUGGGCUGAGAAGGGUGUUCCUAGCCUCUGUGGAGCCGCCCUGCCUGCACUGAGUGGCUCCCCUCCACACUCCUCUUGCAAGGGUGGCCCUUGGCCUCUUGAGUCCUGGGUGGGGCUACUGGGGAUCGUCCCCAGAAUUGCCUUCUUUCUUUUGAAAGAAAGUACUUGUCAACCAUUGUUAUGGGCAAUAAGAAUAAACAAGUGUACAGC
rnacentral:lncRNA from 1 species